GACGAACGCUGGCGGCGUGCUUAACACAUGCAAGUCGAACGGUAAGGCCCUUCGGGGUACACGAGUGGCGAACGGGUGAGUAACACGUGGGUGAUCUGCCCUGCACUUCGGGAUAAGCCUGGGAAACUGGGUCUAAUACCGGAUAGGACCCUGGGAUGCAUGUCCUGGGGUGGAAAGCUUUUGCGGUGUGGGAUGGGCCCGCGGCCUAUCAGCUUGUUGGGGGGGUGAUGGCCUACCAAGGCGACGACGGGUAGCCGGCCUGAGAGGGUGACCGGCCACACUGGGACUGAGAUAGGGCCCAGACUCCUACGGGAGGCAGCAGUGGGGAAUAUUGCACAAUGGGCGCAAGCCUGAUGCAGCGACGCCGCGUGAGGGAUGACGGCCUUCGGGUUGUAAACCUCUUUCAGCACCGACGAAGCGCAAGUGACGGUAGGUGCAGAAGAAGGACCGGCCAACUACGUGCCAGCAGCCGCAGUAA
rnacentral:rRNA from 1 species